UACGUAGGUGGCAAGCGUUGUCCGGAAUUAUUGGGCGUAAAGCGCGCGCAGGCGGUCCUUUAAGUCUGAUGUGAAAGCCCACGGCUCAACCGUGGAGGGUCAUUGGAAACUGGGGGGACUUGAGUGCAGGAGAGAAGAGUGGAAUUCCACGUGUAGCGGUGAAAUGCGUAGAGAUGUGGAGGAACACCAGUGGCGAAGGCGGACUC
rnacentral:rRNA from 1 species